UACUAAAUGACUUAUUCUCGGUCUAAGCACUAUGAUGAAGCAAAACCUUGGAGUGAAAGGUUUGAUGUUGCAUUUCCUUGUGCUUCCCGGAAUGAAAUAGAUCAGUCUGAUGCCAUUAAUUUGGUUAAUUCAGGUUGUCGUAUACUUGUAGAAGGUUCAAAUAUGCCAUUUACCCCUGAGGUGGUUAAUAUUCUGAGAAAAGCUAAUGUUUUUAUUGCUCCUGCCAUGGCUGCUGAUGCUGGAAGGGUUGUUGCUGGUGAACUCGAAUUAAAUCAUGAAUGCAAUUUGAUGCACUGGUCACCCGAACUUCGAAUCUAAAUUACAGAUUAUGUUAGUUAGCUCUUCCAUUCUCCCCAAAUUUAGUGAGCAAAAUCCUUUUACAGCUCAUAAAGUAAAGAAAGUUCAACAUUAAAUCAAAUGUCAAGCUUUGAAGAUUUAGCUCUGUUAUCUGCAAGAUCACUGUUGUCGAAAAGGGUUUGAAUAGGAUGUUCUUGAUUAUGCCGAUGUUAUCAUCAAAAAAUUUGAUGUGCUCUGAAGACAAUAGAGAGAAUAUAAAUUUUGAACAAAAAUUAAGGCAUCGCGCUAUUAAUUUUGCUCAAAAGGGAGCAUACAUAAUCUUGAGGAUGUUGUUGAAAUUGUGUCAUGAAACCAAGAGGUGGUUGAAUAUUGGCCAAAUUUGGCCACUCUUUAUUAAGGGCAUAAUGGUUUUUUUCUUUGUAAACUUAUAUAAGCCUUGAGAUAAUCUUUGUUUCGUAACAAGGGGGGAGUUCAAAACAUAAGGGAGAUUGUGCAGAGGAACACAUGGAUUUUCCGCUCACAUUAGAACAAUCUCUUUAGGAUUAAUUGUGUUUUGAGGUUGAGUUUGCUUUUGAUCCUAAACUUAUUGGAAGAGGUGUGAGAGUGUUUUGUAAUUCUUGUUCCAUCUCAUAUAGUGAAACCAUCAUCACCACCCGUGGAUGUAGGCAUAUUGGCCGAACCACGUAAAUCGUUGUGCCUUUUUGUGUUUUU